UACGUAGGGGGGCAAGCGUUGUCCGGAUUUAUUGGGCGUAAAAGAGCGUGUAGGCGGUUAUACAGGUCCGCUGUGAAAACUGGAGGCUUAACCUCCAGACGUCGGUGGAAACCGUAUGACUAGAGUCCGGAAGAGGAGAGUGGAAUUCCAGGUGGAGCGGGUGAAAUGCGUAGAGAUCUGGAAGAACACCAAAGGCGAAGGCAGCGUCCUGGGAAGUUACUGACGCUCA
rnacentral:rRNA from 1 species